CACUGGGCGCUAGCCUGAUGCAGCGACGCCGCGUGAGGGAUGACGGCCUUCGGGUUGUAAACCUCUUUGUGUGGAGACGAAGCGGGAGUGACGGUACCUGGAGAAGAAGGACAGGCCAACGACGUGCCAGCAGCCGCGGUAAUAGGGAGGGUGCGAGCGUUGUCCGGAAUUACUGGGCGUAAAGAGCUCGUAGGCGGUUUGUCGCGUCGUCUGUGAAAUUCUGCAACUCAAUUGCAGGCGUGCAGGCGAUACGGGCAGACUUGAGUACUACAGGGGAGACUGGAAUUCCUGGUGUAGCGGUGAAAUGCGCAGAUAUCAGGAGGAACACCGGUGGCGAAGGCGGGUCUCUGGGUAGUAACUGACGCUGAGGAGCGAAAGCGUGGGUAGCGAACAGGAUUAGAUACCCUGGUAGUCCACGCCGUAAACUUUUGGUACUAGGUGUGGGUUCCUUUUCACGGGAUCCGUGCCGUAGCUAACGCAUUAAGUACCCCGCCUGGGGAGUACGGCCGCAAGGCUAAAACUCAAAGGAAUUGACGGGG
rnacentral:rRNA from 1 species